rnacentral:rRNA from 1 species
CCUACGGGAGGCAGCAGUGGGGAAUUUUGGACAAUGGGCGAAAGCCUGAUCCAGCCAUUCCGCGUGCAGGAUGAAGGCCCUCGGGUUGUAAACUGCUUUUGUACAGAACGAAAAGGUUUCUACUAAUACUAGGAGCUCAUGACGGUACUGUAAGAAUAAGCACCGGCUAACUACGUGCCAGCAGCCGCGGUAAUACGUAGGGUGCAAGCGUUAAUCGGAAUUACUGGGCGUAAAGCGUGCGCAGGCGGUUAUAUAAGUCAGAUGUGAAAUCCCCGGGCUCAACCUGGGAACUGCAUUUGAGACUGUAUAGCUAGAGUGCGGUAGAGGGGGAUGGAAUUCCGCGUGUAGCAGUGAAAUGCGUAGAUAUGCGGAGGAACACCGAUGGCGAAGGCAAUCCCCUGGACCUGUACUGACGCUCAUGCACGAAAGCGUGGGGAGCAAACAGGAUUAGAUACCCUGGUAGUCCACGCCCUAAACGAUGUCAACUGGUUGUUGGGUCUUAACUGACUCAGUAACGAAGCUAACGCGUGAAGUUGACCGCCGUGGGAGGUACGGCCGCGAGGUUAGUAAACGUUAAAGUUAGUAAGUUAGUACGGACGUGAGACGUAGACCGACGGACGACGACGAGGGAGGAGG